rnacentral:tRNA from 1 species
GGCCCGUUGGUCAAGUGGUUAAGACACCGCCCUUUCACGGCGGUAACGGGAGUUCGACUCUCCCACGGGUCACCA